AAGGUUUCAACCUUUUGUAUACUUUUGAUUCACUAAUAUACAUGCUUGUUAUACUUACAUCAAGUUGAUAGUAACGACAUAAGGGCCUGUUUACAACACCCCUGAACUUUAGGUUGACCAACAUGUUCACUAGUUUGAAUGAGUCCCAUUGUUGUGGCAUUUCAUUUUGAUGAUUACAUGUUCGAGGAGAGUGUUUUUCUACUCAUUAGAGCCACUUGGUUUGUGCCUCUACCAUUGGAGGCUCAGGAAGAAGCCUCCUAUGAACAAGAAGCUAUCUAUCAGUAUGAGGAUGAAGAGGAUGACAAUCUGGAUGAUGAAGCUUACUUCGGUAGCUCCUCAAGCCUUCGUAUUGGUAACCAUAGGUGGUUUAUACCUCUUUGGUAUAUUUGUUUAUUCCUGGUUAAUAUAUUCUGCUAGCAUCUAGAAACUGACUAUUGGAUUGAAGAACAUUUUCCCCCACUGAAGAUCUCUACCAUUUUUGACAGAUAUCACAAUGAUAUUAAUGUUCCUGUCUUAUUGCAAAGUAUCAAUGAAGAUAAAGAUAGGGAAUUGGUAGAUGCACAAGCAGAAAUCAAGGCAUUGAAGUACUCGGAACUCCUUAUAGAAAAAGUAGUUGAAGAGGUGCUGCCAAAGAGGAAGAAGAGGAGGAAAAAGAAUAAGGUAUGUUUUUUUCUUUUUUCAUUUUCAAUCAUCUGUCACAUUCUCUUCACACAACAUUUUUUAGCUUGAAUGCCUUCACAUAAUUUUAUAUGUCAUAUAAUAAUACAAGUAAAAAGAAGACAUGAUGGGUGUAUUUUUAUGAGGGUGGCAAUAGUCAGGGUACAUUCUUAGGUUAAUCUGAACCAUUUAUGUUCUUACCACUACCAUAUAGAUGUUAAUUUCUUUCAAUCAUACACCAAUAAUGACCCUAACCUAUGUCACAGUGUAUAAUCAAGUCCUCUAUCACCUCGUAUGAUUUUAUCCAAUACUUGUGCAGGUUUUACUAGAUUUUAUAUGACAAAUAAAUGAUGAUCAGGGGUAUGUUUUAUUUUCUUGGAAGUAGCUAUUCCAAUUCUCAUUUGUGUAUUGGGUUGCUUUACCUUUAAAUUUUUAUCAAAGAAAUAGAAUGCAGUUAACAUGUGUUAAUUUCAUACUGCACAUUUCUUAUACUUUAGGCCCAUGGAGGAGCAACGGCAGCGCUAUGGGCCAUCUCUGUACAACCUUACCAUUAUGGUGCUUUCAAUUCGGUUGUUUCUUCUUCUUUCCUGAGGCAUUUCGAG